GGGGGCGAUCAGGUCUCGACGGGGGUGAUUGGAGUUCGUGUUGCGUGACCGAGGGUGCUUGGAACCUCGUAAAUCCUUCAGGCGACCACAAUUGCGAACGAUAACAACUCGAUCGCGCUGGCUGCUUAGUUAGCCAGCCGUUCUGUCGGAAGUUUUUCGGUACUUCCGGCGGGGCGUCAGCGAACCGGAUAGCGAAACCCCGCAGGGCUGCUUGGCGGGGAGAGCGAAACAUCAGGAGUGGCUGACUCCGUGAGAGCCUGUCGGUGGGCGCGACCGGGGUGAGAUAAAUCAUCGACUAGGUUACGUAGACGCACGGAGGACAAGCUCUCGGACCCGGGUUCGAUUCCCGGCGCCUCCAC
rnacentral:tmRNA from 1 species